rnacentral:rRNA from 1 species
AUUGAACGCUGGCGGCAGGCUUAACACAUGCAAGUCGAGCGGGGUGAUGGUGCUUGCACUAUCACUUAGCGGCGGACGGGUGAGUAAUGCUUAGGAAUCUGCCUAUUAGUGGAGGACGACAUCUCGAAGGGGAUGCUAAUACCACAUACGUCCUACGGGAGAAAGCAGGGGAUCACUGGUGACCCUGCGCUAAUAGAUGAGCCGAAGUCGGAGUAGCUAGUUGGUGGGGUAAAGGACUACCAAGGAGACGAACUGGAGCGGGUCUGAGAGGAUGAUCCGCCACACUGGGACUGAGACACGGCCCAGCCUCCUACGGGAGGCAGCAGUGGGGAAUAUUGGACAAUGGGGGGAACACUGAUCCAGCCAUGCCGAGUGUGUGAAGAAGGACUUAUGGUUGUAAAGCACCUUAAGCGAGGAGGAGGCUCUUUUGGUUAAUACCCAAGAUGAGUGGACGUUACUCGCAGAAUAAGCACCGGCUAACUCUGUGCCAGCCGCCGCAGUAA